rnacentral:tRNA from 4 species
CGCGGGGAAGUGUAACGGCUGCACACAAGGCUCAUAAUCUUGAGGCAGCGGGUCCGACUCCCGCCCCCGCAACCA